GGAUGUAGUUCAGUUGGUUAGAGCGUCAGAUUGUGGUUCUGAAUGUCGUGGGUUCGAGUCCCACCCUC
rnacentral:tRNA from 10 species